UACAGAGGUCCCAAGCGUUGUUCGGAUUCAUUGGGCGUAAAGGGUGCGUAGGCGGCUUGGUAAGUCGGGUGUGAAAUCUCGGAGCUUAACUCCGAACCUGCAUUCGAUACUGCCGUGCUUGAGGACUGGAGAGGAGACUGGAAUUUACGGUGUAGCGGUGAAAUGCGUAGAUAUCGGAAGGAAGACCAGUGGCGAAGGCGGGUCUCUGGACAGUUCCUGACGCUGAGGCACGAAGGCCAGGGGAGCAAACGGG
rnacentral:rRNA from 1 species